UUUACUUGGCUUGAAGUAAUCAAAAAGAAAAUCAGAAAAACACACAAAAAAAAAGAAAGGAGAAAAAGAGAGAAGAGGGUGCUCGUAGCUUUGAGGGCAGCCAUCAGAAAACUGCCGUUUGCCGGAAAUUGCACCGUUGGAUCAUCCCCAAAUUUUGAUAGCUUGUUCCUGACAUCAAGGGCUUCAUUUUGGACGGUGGAGAUCGUCUUUUGAGCUUUGGUUUGGUCAGAAUCAUCUUUGCACAGAAUGCUGUAUUUUUGCCGACAGCGAUCGACCUCCAUCGCCAGUCGUCUUCUCCACUUCAGUCGAGACUCCAGAAUCGCCAUAAACUCUGGCCUCUUCAAGAAGAACAGAUUGAGAGAUUUUACAACAGCAAAAUAGUGGGUCUUUGUUAGCCAAAGCCGAUGCAGAUUGGGGCCACGCCACAAAAUAGAGAAAGCUAAGAGGUCGAAGAAAAGUCAAUGAAUUUAACGGACCGAACUUAAAAAUUGGUUGUAAAAUACAUAUUGAAUAUAUGUAAUCGAAAAGUUUUACAGAACGACGCAGACAUAAAAAUGUAAAAUUGACCUCAAAAGUAGUCCGUGGGCCGGGCUCCAUGUUGUCUACAUCCAAUCGCACAACACCGUGUCUUUGGGUUUUGUUUAUAGUUGAUUAAACUGAGUAAGUAUUAAUCUGUACUAUUUUUGUUUUUAUUUGAUAUUCCUAUCGUUUAGUCUUUUGAGAGAUCAUUUUUUCAAAGACGUAUCUUAAAUCUAACCCAUUAAAAAUUAAUAUCUAUUUAUCGUAUUCUUAAAACAUAUUUGCAUUAUACUUAAUGCUUACUUACUGUACUUUUGAUGCAUACUUUCAAUAUGUUAAAUGUCUACUUACAUCAUUCUUAAUGCCUAUUUUCAAUAUUUUAAAAAGUACGUAAUGAGCCGGCCCAAUUAGAGAUGGUCUCUCAAAAAUACCGUCUCCCACAAUAAUUUAUGUAUUUCUAUUGUUUUAUGUUAGACAGCUUUAUUCAUUGUUACUUUAAUUUUAAUACUCCCACCUAUUCACCGAAAAAUAGAUCACUUGUUUUUUUGGUACUAUUCACUUAUUAUUUUUAAUUUGUAUUUUAUUCUUAAUCUAUAAAUCAAGGUGAGAUUUUAUUUUUGGGAAAUUACACAUGGUAGCAUCAAACUUCCAUGAAACGCCAAUGGUAGCACUUUUGUAAGAUUUUUUCACAUGGUAACAUCUAGUUUAUUCCUUAUCUAACUGUCGUACCAUUUUCAAUUAAAUUUUUGUUGAUUUCCGCUUAAUUCACCAUUUUGACAUUUCUACCCUUAUUAAGUGUUAGUUGUUGUUUUUAUAAUUUGCCUCAAAACGUUUUCAUGCUUUCAAAUGUUUGAUUUACCAUUUUGACGUUUAAUACAUCAUUUUUAUCAACGCUCUCAAGUAUUUAGGCCAAAUUUAAGACAAGAACUAACACUUAAUAAGACAUAAAAUGGAUGCUACUGGAAAAAUCUUAUAAAAGUACUACAACUAGUAUUUCAUAAAAGUUCGAUACUAAUAUGUGAAAUUUCCCUUUAUUUUAUUCAUCCCAAUGUAAAGAUUAUCAAUAUCCACUUUUAUGAUGUUUUGUUAUGUAUAAUAAGGGAUAUUAAGUAUUGAAUAAUUGCAUUAGAUAAACGUAAAAAAGUAUAUAUCUCAUUUUUAAUGAAUAGGAGGGAGUAUUUAUUUUGUUUCCUUUUGCUUAUCCGCUUUAAUUUUUUCGCUUUAAGAGAGAUUUAAAUUAGUCAUUUAAAAUAUAUAUUGAAAAUCUCAUCAUGUAAAUAAUAAUUUCAUUUGAAAUUUUAAAAUUGGCUCAAAUUUAUUAUUUGGCAAAUAAAAUAUUUUUAAAUUUAGAUUUAAAUCAAAUUUCACCAUUGUUUUUAAAGUAGUUAAAAUUAAAAAUUCGAUGAUGACUACCUAAACCUUAUCACUCAAAUUAUUUAUUUAUGAUUUCACAAUUAAAAUUUAUAAUUUACAAUAAAAUAUUUAUUCUCAAACACUACAUUAAAUUCAAACUUUAUUUUAAAUGCUUAUAAAAAUAAAGUGUAUAAACAAAAAGAAAAUAAAAAAAUAUUUUUAGUAUUAAGGGUAUUCAGCACAUUUUGGACUCAACGACAAACACAAUGGAAAAUUUUUAUCAUGUAAUAGACAAAUAAUGUCAUCAAAAUACAGAAAUUAGAGACAAAUUCACAAGAAACAAUAUAACAAAACAGUUAAAAAUCAAAUAUCAAUUCACCCUAAGAAAGUAAAA